rnacentral:rRNA from 1 species
CUACGGGUUGCAGCAGUGGGGAAUCUUGCGCAAUGGGCGAAAGCCUGACGCAGCAACGCCGCGUGCGGGAUGAAGGCCUUCGGGCUGUAAACCGCUUUCAGCAGGAACGAAAAUGACGGUACCUGCAGAAGAAGGAGCGGCCAACUACGUGCCAGCAGCCGCGGUGACACGGUAGGCUCCAAGCGUUGUCCGGAUUUAUUGGGCGUAAAGGGCUCGUAGGCGGUUGAGUAAGUCGGGUGUGAAAACUCUGGGCUUAACCCGGAGACGCCAUCCGAUACUGCUCUGACUAGAGUUCAGGAGGGGAGUGGGGAAUUCCUAGUGUAGCGGUGAAAUGCGCAGAUAUUAGGAGGAACACCGGUGGCGAAGGCGCCACUCUGGACUGAAACUGACGCUGAGGAGCGAAAGCAUGGGUAGCAAACAGGAUUAGAUACCCCGGUAGUC